GUGCGUACACUGCGAUUCUGAGCGUGCCGUCCGCACCCACCUGACGACCGCUCGCUACGUUUUGUUAGCC
rnacentral:sRNA from 1 species